GCCCCCGGCGCCGGCACGCGGACCCGAACGAGGCGACAAGGUCGGUCCUCCCCCGCCGGGCCUUCCCCGCGCUCCCCGGCGCCCCCAGCCCGCUGACCCCCGGCCAGGCAGGCCCGCGGGGGAGGCAGGACCGGAGCCCUGAGGCCCUGGCCGGCCUCGGGGUUGAGGCUCAGCUCGGGAUAAGUGAUCUUUGGGGCCCGCAGAGGACGUCUCCCCAAGACCCAGUGGCAACCGGGGCACCACUGAGUUCAGUACUUCAAAAUUGCCGUGCUCUACCUCUCCCCAGUGCACAAAAACACUCUCCACACCAAGCUGCUGCUGCUGGGGGAUGGAGGGAUGGCGUCAGCGAUUCAAGACUGUUUUUCCUACCUGUUCAGCACUUCUUUCAGCGAUAUGAAGUUAAAUCCAGGCCAAGUUCCCACCUGGUGGGAAGCACUGUGCAGGUUCGUGGGGAUGCAGCCCUGCACAGCCCAGACUGGACUCCUUCCCCAUGGAACUCACAACACACGGGAGAGGCAGAGAGAUCCAAGCGCACAGAAAAACACAAGAAGAUUCAGCCCUGUCAUCUUGUGCAAAGUGCACGCGAAGGCCUCAACCAUCUGGAGAACACCUGCUGCAACAGAGUCACACAGGCUAGAGUGCAGUGGCAUGAUCUCAGCUCCCCACAACCUCUGCCUCCGAUGUUCAAGCGAUUCUCCUGUCUCAGCCUCCUGAGUAGCUGGAAUUACAGGUUUUCUAUAAAUGUCUGCUGUGGACUGAACUGAUGGAAUAAGCAUCCAAAAGGAAUGCCACCGGCUGAAAUGCUGACCCUCAUCACCAAGAUAAAACAUUGCAGGGAUGCAUGAAAAUUACAUUUGGGGAGUAAAUAGGCAGCCCAAGUACAGAGUGAAGAAGACCUGCUUAGAGGUGGCACACAUGAAAACAACUCAAAGGUUUACUUGCCCAUCUGAAUAUUCAUCCAUCCAUCCAUCCAUCCAUCCAUCCAUCCAUCCAUCCAUCCAUCCAACCAUCCAACCCCCUCUUGCCCUCAGAAGUUUAACCACCAGGAUUGAGCCCCUCUGUGUCCCAUGCCAACCUCCUAAGGUCAGAUGGGUUGGCUGUGCCCACUGUGUAAGAGGGGGUAGGCCAGGUUCAGGGAGGACACACAGACAAUUCCUCACCCCUCCACCCCCAUUCCCUGCUGGUCAGACCAGUUCCAGGGAUCAGUAUUUAAUACCUGGCCCUCAGAAUGGGAGGGAGAUGGCAAUGUGUGUGUGCGUGUGUGUGUGUUUCUUCAGGAACACCUUUUUUUUUUUUUGAGAUGGAAUCUCGCUCAGUCGCCCAUGCUGGAGUGCAGUGGCACAAUCUCAGAUCGCUGCAACCUCCGCCUCCCCAGUUCAAGCAAUUCUCCUGCCUCAGCCUCCUGAGUAGCUGGGACUACAGGUGCCCACCACCAUGCCCAGCUAAUUUGUGUAUUUUUAGUAGAGAUGGGGUUUCCCAUAUUGGCCAGGCUGGUCUCAAACUCCUGACCUUGUGAUCUGCCCACCUUGGCCUCCGAAAGUGCUGGGAUUACAGGUGUGAGCCACUGUGCCCGGCCCAGGGACUUUUCUUUAAAAAUAGACUUACAUUUAUUUUUUAUUUUUUAUUUUAUUUUUGAGAUGAAGUUUUACUCUUGUUGCCAAGGCUGGAGUGCAAUGGUGCGACCUCGGUCCACUGCAACCUCUGCCUCCUGGGAUCUAGCGAUUCUCCGGCCUCAGCCUCCUGAGUAGCUGGGAUUACAGGCACCCACCACCACGCCUGGCUAAUUUUUUGUAUUUUUAGUGGAGAUGGGGUUUCACCAUGUUGGCCAGGCUGGUCUUGAACUCCUGACCUCAGGUGAUCCACCCACCUCGGCCUCCCAAAGUGCUGGGAUUACAGGCGUGAGCCACCCUGACUGGGUAACAGACUUUUUUUUUUUUUAAAAGAGCAAUUUUAGGCUCACAAUCAGAUUGAGUGGAAGGUACAGACAGUCUAUGGGAAAUAGACUCCCUACCUCCACAUAGGUAUGGCCUCUCCCACUAUUAAAAAUCCCGUACUAAAAAUAAAAAACAUUCUACACCAGAGGCGUCCAUUUGUGGUAGUUGGUGAACACACACUGACACACUGCGACUGGUCUGUAGGUAAGUGGGGUUGUUUGAUGUUGGUGUGAGGGCUUGCUCUGAGCUGGCCAUUGUGACAAUGCUUUCCCACAGCUACUGAUCAAUGGAGUCAAGACUUGAAACCAGGUUUGCCCGACUCUGAAGCCCAGGCUCCUAACAGCUGUGUUGCUAAGUGGCCUGAUGACGAUAGCAUAGGUUUAAAUAUCUGAAAAAGUGGUUUGGUGAGGAGUAGCCAUCUUCCAAUAUUUGAAGGACUAUCCCAAGAAGGCUAGAUGGAGUUAUUCUGUGUAGCUUCCCAGGGAAAUACCUAGACCAGUGGGUGAAGCGUAGGGGAGGGAAAUUUUGUCCGCAUAGAAGGGUAGCCCUGUGGCAUCAGGGCUUACUUUGAGAGGUAAUGAAUUGCCCAGCACCAGAGGCUGGGCACAUUUGAAGGAAAACCCCUGUCUUGGGGAAGGUUGGGCUUCACCACCUGAAAGGUCUCUUUUAUUUUGAUUUAUUUAUUUUAAGACACAAGAUCUCACUCUGUCGCUUAUCCUGGGGUGCAAUGGUACAAUUAGAACUCACUGCAGCCUCCAACUCCUGGGCUCAAGCGAUCCUCCCACCUCAGCCUCCCAAGUAGCUGGGACCACAGGUGUUCACCACACCUGGAUAAUUUUUUCAUUCUUUGUAGAGAUGCAAGUCUCGCUAUGUCACUCAGGCUAGUUUCAAACUCCCGGUCUCAAGCGAUCCUCCCACCUCAGGUCCCCAAAGUGUUGGGAUUACAGGCAGGAGCCACCACGCCCAGCUAAAAGGCCUCUUUUGACUCUCAUUUUGAUCAGUUCAAUUUGGUUCAGCCUCUGUUGAGCACCCACUCUGUGCUAGCUCUGGGCUGGGUACUGGGGAUGAGUAACACACGAUCCCAGUGCUUGCUUCGGCAGCACAUGUACUAAAAUUGCAACGAUACAGAGACGAUUAGCAUGGCCCUGUGCAAAGAUGACAUGCAAAUUUGUGAAGCAUCACAUUAAAAAAGAAAAAGACAAGAUCCCAGUCCUCAAGGGGCUGCCAGCCUAGGUUGGAAGGCAGCUUGUGCCGUUCUGUUACUUGCUGUCCCUUUUUGCCCUGGAUGCCGUGGGGGCUUUCAGGGAUGAGGGUCCCAGGAGUGUUGCAAAAUGAAAAGAAGCUGGCUACUGAGGGGAUGGUGGGUGUGAGCAGGAGGUCAGGCUGGGGGACCCUGGCCAGCUAGUCUCUGGGUCAGUCAUCCCCAAGGAGGUCUUUACUCACUGUGGAAUGGAAGAGGCCUUCGUUAGGGAUCUUCAGGCCCGUACUCAGGCAGAGAGCGGAGGACUCAAAGAGCACAGGCCCUGCCACCCUCCCCUUCCGCCUCUCCCCGAGGGUCCUCCCUCAUCUGCCUAACGGGGAUAUAGGGGAACUGCCACCUUCCUUCAUGAAGCACAUUCACUUCUCCUAGGUUGACAGCAACAUGGAGCCAGGAGCUCCACUCAGAGAGGGCUAUGGGACCUCCAGCCUGGGCUCUUUCAUAAUCCCUCUUCCCCUUCUGACAGGUGCCCAGGGAACAAGCGCCUAUAGGUGGUCUAAACCCCAAAAACCUGCUUCACGAGGAUUACGGGUGUGGCUCCAUCCUGCCCCCUACUUGCCUCAGGUGGUGACCUCCAUUGCAGUCACUGUCAUCCGGGAUCCCAAGUCUCACAGGUGACGAUGAUGAUGAAUAUGAAAGUGAUGGAUGACAACAAUAAAUAGCAUUGUUCGGCACUCAAACCCUAUGUGUGUUAACUCAUGGAAUAACCCAACUUCCCACCCCUUCAGUCCUAUUUUCCUGUCUCAAGACCCACCUCUUCCUCAUGACUGACACCUGGGGCGGCCUCUUCCUCCACGCUGGCUGUCUAUUGGAAUCUCCUGGGUAGCUUAUUAAAAAUACGCCUGUUAGGGCCAGGUGCGGUGACUUAUGCCUAUAAUCCCAGCACUUUGGAAGGCCGAGGUGGGUGGAUCACAAGUUCAGGAGGUCGAGAUCAUCCUGGCCAACAUGGUGAAACCCUGUCUUUACUAAAAAUACAAAAAAUUAGCUGGGCGUGGUGGCACGUGCCUGUAGUCCCAGCUAUUGGGGAGCCUGAGGUAGGAGAAUCACUUGAACCAGAGAGUCAGAGGUUGCAGUGAGCCGAAAUUGCACCACUGCACUCUAGCCUGGUGAUAGAGUGAGACUUUGUCUUUAA
rnacentral:lncRNA from 1 species